UACAGAGGUCUCAAGCGUUGUUCGGAUUCAUUGGGCGUAAAGGGUGCGUAGGCGGCGUGGUAAGUCGGAUGUGAAAUCUCGGAGCUUAACUCCGAAACUGCAUUCGAUACUGCCGUGCUUGAGGACUGGAGAGGAGACUGGAAUUUACGGUGUAGCGGUGAAAUGCGUAGAUAUCAAGAGGAACACCAGUGGCGAAGGCGAGUCCCUGGACAACACCUGACACUGAGGCACGAAAGCUAGGGGAGCAAACAGG
rnacentral:rRNA from 1 species